rnacentral:rRNA from 1 species
UCUCAUAAUGCCCGAAAGGGUGACGAAGCGACGCCGCGUGGGUGAGGAAGGCCUUCGGGUUGUAAAGCCCUGUCAGGAGUUAAGAAAUGUAAGUGCGCUAAUACCGCAUUUAUUUGACGAAGGCUCCAAAGGAAGUCACGGCUAACUCUGUGCCAGCAGCCGCGGUAAUACAGAGGUGGCAAGCGUUGUUCGGAAUUAUUGGGCGUAAAGAGCACGUAGGUGGGUUUGUAAGUCAGAUGUGAAAGCCUCCUGUUCAACGGGAGAAUUGCAUCUGAAACUACAGAUCUUGAGUGUAGGAGGGGAGAAUGGAACUUCUGGUGGAGCGGUGAAAUGCGUAGAUAUCAGAAGGAACGCCGGCGGCGAAAGCGAUUCUCUGGCCUAUUACUGACACUCAGUGUGCGAAAGCUAGGGUAGCAAACGGGAUUAGAUACCCCGGUAGUCCUAGCCGUAAACGAUGGGCACUAAGUAGAGGGGUUUUA